UAUGUGAUCGUCUCUCGCAUAUCAAUAAGCGGAGGAAAAGAAACUAACAAGGAUUCCCCUAGUAACGGCGAGUGAAGCGGGAAGAGCUCAAAUUUGAAAUCUUAAAGGGUUUCCCUUUACGAAUUGUAGUUUAAAGAAGUGUUUUCUGUUGAGGUUUUGGUAAAAGUUCUUUGGAAUAGGACAUCAUAGAGGGUGAGAAUCCCGUAUUUGACCUUUACUUUCAACUUUGUGAUACACUUUCAAAGAGUCGGAUUGUUUGGGAAUGCAGUCCAAAAUGGGUGGUAAAUUUCAUCUAAAGCUAAAUAUUGGCGAGAGACCGAUAGCGAACAAGUACCGUGAGGGAAAGAUGAAAAGGAACUUUGAAAAGAGAGUUAAACAGUACGUGAAAUUGUCAAAAGGGAAGCGUUUGACACCAGUGUUGUUUUUCUGAAAAUCAAUUAAAGAACUGUUUAUGCUAAGUUGUUUAGACUUUAUCAGCUAACUGUUUAGUUUUGAGCUUUUCUUUAAUGCACUUUUCAGUUAACAAGUCAACAUCAAUUUCUUUUGCUGUAAAAAAGCUUGAGGAAGGUGGCUUGAGAUUCGUCUUAAGUGUUUAUAGCCUCUUGCCUAUGCAGUCGGAGAGAUUGAGGUCUGCAGCGUAGAUCCUUCGGGGCUAAAUGCAUUUGUGCUAAGUUAUAGCAUUUUAUAGACAACUUGUUGACUAUGAUUUGUCUUGUAGCUUACUCGCUUAUGUCAUUUUACCUACGCUUAGGAUGUUGAUCUACAGAGCGAGAGU
rnacentral:rRNA from 1 species